rnacentral:lncRNA from 10 species
CGGAGCUGCACUCUGUUCUACCCAAAUUAUAUAAACUCACAGAUUAUUUUAAAAGCCUCACAGUGAAGGGGAGGAGCCAAGAUGGCCGAAUAGGAACAGCUCCGGUCUACAGCUCCCAGCGUGAGGGACGCAGAGGACGGGUGAUUUCUGCAUUUCCAUUUGAGUUCCAUUUGAAAAAAAAAAAAAAGCAUUCACUCAAGUGAAAAUGCACGAACUCUAAAAUUAAUGGGAAGAAUGACCAUCUUUAUAAUACAUGUCACAACAAUCUUGAGACUUUGAACAGCACGUGUCUCACACUCCUGUAUAUAUUUACCCAGCAUUAUAUCUUACUAGAGCCUUCAGAUUAUAUAGCAAAGUGGCUAUAUAGAGAGUCAAUGUAAAAGGAAGCCAUGGAGACUUCUAUUCAAGAUGAUGCUGCAACUGAGGAUGUGCUGCAAUCUCCCACGCUUUCAAAUGUUUGUUCAAUUGAAUUAAUCUGAGAUUUGUAUAAAGUUUGUAAAGCCAUGGCUCUUGUAUUCCAGUUCUGGAGUGAUGCUGUUUUUUAAAGAAGGGUGAUAAAAGCAGAAAUGUCUAUCUUUAUAACACUCUCCAAGUUUUAAUGGGGCUGAAAAACGUGGUCCAAAGCAAUGUUCAUUAAAAAUUUCAUUCUCUGAUCUCUUAGGUUUGUUUUGUUCUUCUACCUCAAAUAAACUCUUAUGCAUCCUGGUUUGACAUCACCAUCUUGGUCACCACUUCCUCUCUGCUCCUCUCAACACUGCCCAAGAAGUCUUAUCACUGUACCACAAGAUCCCUGGGGGUGUGAGGUUCCUCUUCUACUUUCAUCGAUUUUACCUUAAGAAUAAACUGAUGCAUCUUUUUGUCCUUUUCUCUUCUUAGAGAGCAGGAGAAGAAGAAACAAAUGAACUUCUUUAUUAAUUUUUAUGCUGCCAGGCUUAGAAUAAGUAUUUCUGAGAUAUAUUAGAGAUUUCUAAAACAUUUGCUUGUUUUCUACUCAAAACAACCACUUAUACAAUAUUCCUUUUUGCUCUACCAAGGAUAAAUUUCACUUACUAAGAAUCUCAGGCCUACAUAUUCUUCCUGAGAAUCAGAUUCACCAUGCACCAAUUACUCUAUCUCCUGCUUGAGUUCCAUGACACAGAACUCUCACAGAACAAGUUAAGGGAAGCAACUUCAUUACUCAUACAUAGGCAGCAGGGAACAAUAGAAGCACAGGAUUUACGGCAAGCUGAUCCCCCAAGUCUCAGGAAAGUUUCUGAGGGUGGAUGGAGUCUUGUCUGCAAAUACCCCACAUCUCACUGCAGCUAAGGAAACCUGAAAACCCAAUACCUUGGGUUUUAUAUCCCGGGGCAAUUGCACUCACUGGGCUAAAGCAUUGUAGGUCAUUCUGUGGUGGGAGGGACAGAAAUGAAGCCCAACCAGUUCCUCUUUAUCUCAGAAUGUUGCAUUUCCAGCACAUUCUGCAGUUAUUCUUGAGAACUGUAAGCAAGAAAGGGGGAAAAAGCUGGGUCACCAAGGUCCAUCCAGAGACCUGUCCUGCACUUCCCUGUCUACUUCAGAUGUUGUCACUUAUGUCUCUAAAACAGAGCCCCUUAGAACAUAAAGGCUUUUGACAUAAGACAUUUUCUGGAAGUAAAACUGGCUUCUCAAAAUUUGUCAAAAGUCAAUACAAAACCUUCUGUGCCUGCUUUAGUGUGCUAGAAUUGCCACAUUUGCUGCACCAGGAAAAGGAAUCUUUUAACUCAUUGUUUACCAUUCUUAUUAUGAAAACAGCACAUAGCACGCAUGAUAAAAGAAUUAUUAGCAAAAUAUAAAGUAAAUUAACAUUGAAUAUUUCCACUGAUGUCUGCCUGUAUAUGUGGUACUGUCUAUAUACUUCCAUGAAAAUCAACUAUUGCUUAAAGGUUGAGGCUUAUAUGUAGACCUUAGAAACUGCAUUGUGGUUUUCCUCUUCCUUCUGAACCCAUCUAUCUUCUUUCUUUUGGAAAUUCCCCACCAAUUCAAGGGUAUUUCUUAUGUAUUACUUUACUAAAUCAAAUUAAUAAACAAUCCAGGAAAAUCCUUUAUGCAGCCAUUUGUUCUUUAUGUUUUCUUUGUCUGAUUUUUAAAAUAAUAUAAUCUGCUUUGAAAUUUUCAUCAGGAUCAUGAAGAUUAUUUGAUCCAAACACUGUUCUGAAAAUGCAAUUUCUAAGAAGCUUAAAUAACCCAUGCAUAAUAGAGAGAAAAAAACCACCCGAAUAUGAUGUUUCCUCUC